rnacentral:tRNA from 1 species
UGCUGCAAUGUAAAAUGGAAUGCCAUGCUGUUUUGCCAAAACAGAAAGAGAGUAAGUUCCAAUCUUAUUUGCUGUAUC